rnacentral:lncRNA from 1 species
GAUAAUAACUGCUAAGCAUUCGUUCAAUGACUAUAAUAUGUCAAGCAAUGUACUGUGCUUAUGUAGAUUGUCUUAUUUAAGAUUCACAAUAAUUCUGUGAAUAAUUACUCUUGUUAUUUUAAUUUUUUUACAGAUAAGGAAGCAGAGGCCAAAGAGAUGACAUGAUUAAUGAAUUAUGGAGUGGGGACUCAAACUCUGGCAGUCUCAUCCAGGAGGUCACAUUCUUUCACAACCCAGGACUUAGCUGACCCCUUCCGGAGGCUGGACCAAACGUUUUCCAGUCUAGUUGAGGGCCAGGACAAGGUUUGUUAUAAGAGGUUUGGAGAAAGUCGUUCUACAGUGUCUACCACAGGCAUGGUGAGAAAUCCCCUCAACUUCUGGAUCCUUGAAUGCCUACCAUCUCUGCAUAAGGCAAGUCAUGGAGUUGACACUCUGAGGAAUUGA